rnacentral:rRNA from 1 species
CCUUGACAUACUAAGAACUUUCCAGAGAUGGAUUGGUGCCUUCGGGAACUUAGAUACAGGUGCUGCAUGGCUGUCGUCAGCUCGUGUCGUGAGAUGUUGGGUUAAGUCCCGCAACGAGCGCAACCCUUUUCCUUAUUUGCCAGCGGGUCAUGCCGGGAACUUUAAGGAUACUGCCAGUGACAAACUGGAGGAAGGCGGGGACGACGUCAAGUCAUCAUGGCCCUUACGGCCAGGGCUACACACGUGCUACAAUGGUCGGUACAAAGGGUUGCUACCUCGCGAGAGGAUGCUAAUCUCAAAAAGCUGAUCGUAGUCCGGAUCGCAGUCUGCAACUCGACUGCGUGAAGUCGGAAUCGCUAGUAAUCGCGGAUCAGAAUGCCGCGGUGAAUACGUUCCCGGGCCUUGUACACACCGCCCGUCACACCAUGGGAGUUUGUUGCACCAGAAGUAGGUAGUCUAACCGCAAGGAGGACGCUUACCACGGUGUGGCCGAUGACUGGGGUGAAGUCGUAACAAGGUAAGCGUAGAUGA